ensembl:lncRNA
UUCUCAAACUUAAGCGUGCAUCAGAAUCACCUGGAGGGCUUGUUCAAACGCAGAUCGCCGGUCCCUUCUCCCAGAGUUUCCGACUCAGGAGGUGGGGCCAGAGAAUCUGCAUUUCUAACAAGUUCCAGACGUUCUAAUGCCAUUGGAAUACAUUUUAAGAACUUCUGCUUUAGAGGGAACUCCGGACCGAUCUCAGCUUCCCAGAGAAACGACCUCCGCAAAGAGAACUGGAAACUCCAAGGCAAUCCAAGGCCCGGCAUUUUUACAACAGACCGCAGAGGAGGGAGAGCAAAGUUGCUCAGCUACGGCUAGCUCACUGCCGCGAAGGAACAGGAGCUCAUUGGAAAUCAAGAUUUUCGUUUGAAUUUUCCCGAUGUUUAAGCGUUGGGACAAAGUCCAAGGCCUUGGAAUCUGAGUGGAGCAGCACCGCACUGCCCGCGAACUCCCUGCGCUGGGGUCAGAACUAGCGUCUUUGCCCUACCCUGCGGAAGUCAGAACCGCCCUGAGCCGCGUCGUGAGUCGGAAAAUGCGUCUUAGAAAAACCCUCCAGGAGAGGAGCCGCUGGGGGACCACAGCGUGGGGUUUUCGUGGGCUUCCUCGCUACUCCUGGGCUGGAGUGCACGCGCCCAGAGAAUAGCUGGGCUCCCGACUCCUCCGGGCUCCAGCGAAGCCGCAAACAGUGCGGGAAGUUCAAAUGCAAAAUGUCCCCGUCCUGCAGAAGCAGGGGAAAGCUGGGGAGAAGGGACUCGAGUCCUCAGAGAUCUUCAUCCGGUCCUCCAGGGUAAUAAACUUUCGGCGGUUCGAGUUUGGGUAGCAACUGGUCGCGCGCCCUCGUCAGUGUGUUAGCCAUUUCCCUGGAAGCGUCCUUGGUGUCGAAAGCCCAGAGCCGCGAGGAAGCAGAUGACCGAGUCGGCGGAAAUGUCCGAGUGAACCAGCAGCGCAGCUCUCGGAUGGCGCACUGGGAGGGGGACAGCUGAGCACAGACUCAGUGCCCUGAGCGCAGCUGGGUCCUGUAGGCUCUGGGACUUCCCUCUCCUCACACCCAGACCCCGCAACUCGCCGUGGGCCCAGUGGCCUGUCUUCCAUGCCGGCCGUUGGCGCCCGGGGUGUCCGACCGACUGUGCUGCUCCUAGGUGGGCCCCCACAAUGCGUGCGCUCUAGACGCCAGCGUAGGCAAGGGAAGUUUCCUGGGCUGAGAGUGGAGAAACUCAACGGUCCCUCCCGGGCGGGCGCUGAGGCGCCGUGAGAGCACUGCAUGCAACGCCGCGCCGCGCUCAGCCUGGGUCUCCCUUUGGCCGUGGGGCACGCACCUGCCCUCUGCAGCAGCCAGGCUUGGACUCUGCCGAGGGGCUGCCCGGCCACGCGGCUUCCCCCAAAGCCUGGAGCUCGCCGACUCUUCCCUACCUUUCAAAGACCGCAGCGCUCGGGCCAGCGUGGCCCAGACUCCACUGUGGAACUUCGGAGGCUGGGGUGGGCGAAGUAAACACGUUUAUGGAAAAACCUGGGCUCAGGAGGUUUGCGGAAAGAGGGCUCAGCUCGUAGGUGGUUGGAAAUUCCGUCCACCCUGCGAGAAAAGCAGGCGGUUCCGCACACAACAUAUAUACACACGCGCACACACAGGGUGGGAAGGUGUGAAGCCCGCUGCUCGGGAGUUGCCCCCACUUUGAUGAAAAGGAAAUACGAAGCGUAGGAACAACUCUUCAGGUCACCACCCCGGGACUGUGUGUCCUGGAGGUCUGAAAGAAGAGAAAGUUCCCUCCAAAUCUUCCAAAUUGAGAAAAGCUGCGGAAGGAAUGAGGCGGUUAGAGAGAGGGGACCGCAAGCAUCCCCGUAGCUGGGGCUCAGGACUGAGCGCUAAAAUGAAACCACCCCUGUAGAUCCCACUAGGGAAAAUGUCUUUUUAAAACCCUUGAACUCUUAGGCAUUCUGCUACUUCCAUGCUUGUCAAAUCUACUUUGAAGCAGUUAAAUAAUGAAGGAUAUUAAACACUCUGGUCUCCGUUCCAAACUCACUCUUUAAUCUUUGCGAAUUUGAAAUUAGAAGGAAAGGAAAAGAAGAUCUGCUAUCCCUGAAUUAUGUUUUACCAAAGGAACGAAAAAUUCUAUACACUUCAGCAUAAAUAAAAUAGAAGGAAUUUUAUCUUAAUAAAAUAAUAUCUCGUAGCUUCCACCUGGCUCCCCAAUCACUGGUUAAUAACCUUUUGACAGUUUUUAGCCUUCUGCUUAUAUUUGUCCACUUAUAUUUGUUCACGAUGGAGAUUAUUUUAAUUGUCCUUCGGGGCGGCACAUCCAAAGCCACCUUUUGGCGGAAUACUUUUGAAUUAUACAGCCUCUUGGCUGCAAGAUCUGCGCCCCUCAAAGGGAGGACUUGCUGGGGGGGCGGAGGGCCAAGCCAAAUCCCCUCUGGCGUCUCGUCUGGGACGAAGGGCGUUUUGCUCAGGGUUGCUCACGAAUAUGUCUUCUAGGAAAAGGCUGUUUAAAAUGAGCGUGUGUUAUUCCUUUCUGUCACUCGGUCACCCUACUUCCAGAGUAGCUGAAGUGCGUUCUGCAAGUACGCUCACACAGGACCAAACUUUUAGAAGAACCUGAAAAAUGUAUCACUACACUUCAGAUUCAAUUAAGUUUCCUGGCAACGGAACAAUGAACUCUACUUUUGCUAGGAAUGAAGAUGUUCAUGUUUUGAGAAGCUAGAAUCGUAUUUUCCUGAAUUUUUAAAAUGAUUAUUCUUCACCCAUUCCAGAUGGAUGCUUUAUUGCUUGCCAAUGGGUUGCAGAUAACCACCUCUUCAACCAAGUUGGUUAACUGCUUAUGAAAUCUACAUUGGCUCAUUAAAGCUUAAAUAUUGGAACAAAUUUC